rnacentral:tRNA from 1 species
AGGGCUAUCGCCAAGUGGUAAGGCACAGGACUUUGACUCCUGCAUUCGUUGGUUCGAAUCCAACUAGCCCUG